GGGAGUUUAGCUCAGCUGGGAGAGCAUCUGCCUUACAAGCAGGGGGUCACAGGUUCGAUCCCUGUAAUUCCCA
rnacentral:tRNA from 1 species